UACGUAGGGGGCUAGCGUUGUCCGGAUUUAUUGGGCGUAAAGAGCGUGUAGGCGGCCAGGUAGGUCUGCUGUGAAAACUCGAGGCUUAACCUCGAGCUGUCGGCGGAAACCAUCUGGCUAGAGUCCGGGAGAGGAGAGUGGAAUUCCUGGUGUAGCGGUGAAAUGCGCAGAUAUCAGGAAGAACACCCGUGGCGAAAGCGGCUCUCUGGAACGGUACUGACGCUGAGACGCGAAAGCGUGGGGAGCGAACAGG
rnacentral:rRNA from 1 species